rnacentral:rRNA from 1 species
CCAAGCUUGCUUGGUGGAUCAGUGGCGAACGGGUGAGUAACACGUGAGCAACCUGCCCUGAACUCUGGGAUAAGCGCUGGAAACGGCGUCUAAUACUGGAUAUGAGCUGCGGAGGCAUCUUCGUGGUUGGAAAGAUUUUUCGGUUUGGGAUGGGCUCGCGGCCUAUCAGCUUGUUGGUGAGGUAAUGGCUCACCAAGGCGUCGACGGGUAGCCGGCCUGAGAGGGUGACCGGCCACACUGGGACUGAGACACGGCCCAGACUCCUACGGGAGGCAGCAGUGGGGAAUAUUGCACAAUGGGCGGAAGCCUGAUGCAGCAACGCCGCGUGAGGGAUGACGGCCUUCGGGUUGUAAACCUCUUUUAGCAGGGAAGAAGCGAAAGUGACGGUACCUGCAGAAAAAGCGCCGGCUAACUACGUGCCAGCAGCCGCGGUAAUACGUAGGGCGCAAGCGUUAUCCGGAAUUAUUGGGCGUAAAGAGCUCGUAGGCGGUUUGUCGCGUCUGCUGUGAAAUCUGGGGGCUCAACCCCCAGCCUGCAGUGGGUACGGGCAGACUAGAGUGCGGUAGGGGAGAUUGGAAUUCCUGGUGUAGCGGUGGAAUGCGCAGAUAUCAGGAGGAACACCGAUGGCGAAGGCAGAUCUCUGGGCCGUAACUGACGCUGAGGAGCGAAAGGGUGGGGAGCAAACAGGCUUAGAUACCCUGGUAGUCCACCCCGUAAACGUUGGGAACUAGUUGUGGGGU